rnacentral:rRNA from 3 species
CAACACCCGAAGUCGGUGAGGUAACCGCAAGGGGCCAGCCGCCGAAGGUGGGGUAGAUGAUUGGGGUGAAGUCGUAACAAGGUAGCCGUAUCGGAAGGUGCGGCUGGAUCACCUCCUUUCUAUGGAGA